AAGCUUACUGUCUUUUGACGUAAUUGAAGGAGACUGUAGGAUGCUCUAUAUGAAUCAGAGGCCUUUGGAUUGUGGAGAAAUGGACAAAUUGCAAGCAGGCAUGGAAUGUCCUCUUUCCAUCUCCCUAUGUCCACCUCUCUCCUCCAUCUGUUUGCAAGCCCUCUCAGUAGUCCCCUGCAGGGUCUUGGCACAGACCUGAUUAGACAGAAAUGACUGUUCCUAUACCCUCUACUUAUCUGCUCACUUCAGGAAAGGCCUUUCUGUUUCCGUACUCUGCGGUUAACCCAGUGUGUGUCACCAUGGCGACCCACUAAAUGACUGUAUGGACGAUGUGUAGACCAGUGUCAUCAACAUGGUGAUGUCAUUCAGCCAAUGAUGUCACCAAGCAUGCAUCCAUCCUCAAAUAGAGAAAGUUGAUGAAGAUGCUGUUUGAUUGUGGUGAGAGCCCCAUGGACCCUGAGCUCAUCUCCUUCUGCAUCAACCUGGCUGCCAACAAGAGGAAUGCACAGGUCAUCUGUGAAGGUAAUGGUCUGAAGAUGCUGAUGAAGAGGGGUCUGAAGCUAAAGGAUGUUCUGAUCAUGAAGAUGAUCAGGAACGUGUCUCAACACGACGGACCCACCAAGAACCUCUUCAUAGUGCGUACUAAACUAACUCAACUCAGUCUUUAACACUGAUGAGCUUAAUCAUGCUCAGUAUAGAUAUAGGCCAGGGAUGGUCAACUGUCGCUCGGGGCCCUCCUUUUGUAGGCCUGCGGAUCAUAAUAUAUAUCUUUUUGGAACUCAGUCGUGGUUCUUACUGUUGCGAGUUAGAAUAGUAGAAUACACAAUGUGCCAAUUUCAAAAUGGGUUAUUGCUUCAGCAGUUUCUCUUAAGUCACUGACAGACACUUAAUUAUCACUAAAAUCUGCAAACAUUUCUCUCCCCACCCCAUUGCAAAAUGAGUAGAAUUGCAUGAAAAUGAGUUAUAACAUUGCAACAUUUUCUCUACGUCCCAUGGCAAA